rnacentral:rRNA from 1 species
CAAUAGCGUAUACUAACGUUGUUGCAGUUAAAAAGCUCGUAGUUGGAUUUCUGAAGGUGGUUGGAUUGGUGUGACCUCGCGUUGCCUCAACCAUACUAUUUUCAGCAUAUGCGAUGAAUUGGUGUGGUUAAUUAAGUUUGAUCCGCCAUUAAAUCGCUCGUUUACUUUGAGAAAAUUAGAGUGUUCAAAGCAGGCAUAACGCCUUGAAUAUGUUAGCAUGGAAUAAUAGCAUAGGACUUUGGUUCUAUUUGUUGGUUGUUCGAGAACCGGAGUAAUGAUUGAUAGGGACGGUUGGGGGCAUCCGUAUUCUCAAGCGAGAGGUGAAAUUCUUGGACCUUGGGAAGACGAACAGCUGCGAAAGCGUUUGCCUAGGACGUUCUCUUUAA